AUUGCCGCUUCCCAAGACCCAUAACUUUUUUAUUUUGAUUUCUAUGGAGUUGUGUAAGGGCUUUAUUUUUGAGUUACGACUUAUAUUUUUCAUUGGUGUCAUUUUUGAGUAAAUUACGCUUUUCGAUCGCUUGCUAUUCCGUUUUUUUC